rnacentral:rRNA from 1 species
UACGGGGGGGGCAAGCGUUGUUCGGAAUUACUGGGCGUAAAGGGCUCGUAGGCGGCCAACUAAGUCAGACGUGAAAUCCCUCGGCUUAACCGGGGAACUGCGUCUGAUACUGGAUGGCUUGAGAUUGGGAGAGGGAUGCGGAAUUCCAGGUGUAGCGGUGAAAUGCGUAGAUAUCUGGAGGAACACCGGUGGCGAAGGCGGCAUUCUGGACCACAACUGACACUGAGAGACGAAAGCCAGGGGAGCAAACGGG